rnacentral:rRNA from 1 species
AGCAGCCGCGGUAAUUCCAGCUCCAAUAGCGUAUAUUAAAGUUGUUGCAGUUAAAAAGCUCGUAGUUGAAUUUCGGGGUUAGUAGGUUGGUCAUGCCUCUGGUAUGUACUGGUCUCACUGAUUCCUCCUUCCUGAUGAACCUUAAUGCCAUUUAUUUGGUGUUUUGGGGAAUUUGGACUGUUACUUUGAAAGAAUUAGAGUGUUUAAAGCAAGCUAACGCUUGAAUACAUUAGCAUGGAAUAAUGAAAUAGGACGUUCGAUCCUAUUUUGUUGGUUUCUAGGAUUGACGUAAUGAUUAAUAGGGAUAGUUGGGGGCAUUAGUAUUCAAUUGUCAGAGGUGAAAUUCUUGGAUUUAUUGAAGACUAACUACUGCGAAAGCAUUUGCCAAGGAUGUUUUCAUUAAUCAAGAACGAAAGUUAGGGGAUCGAAGACGAUCAGAUACCGUCGUAG